rnacentral:rRNA from 1 species
CGCGGCCUAUCAGCUUGUUGGUGAGGUAACGGCUCACCAAGGCGACGACGGGUAGCUGGUCUGAGAGGACGAUCAGCCACACUGGGACUGAGGCACGGCCCAGACUCCUACGGGAGGCAGCAGUGGGGAAUCUUGCGCAAUGGGCGAAAGCCUGACGCAGCAACGCCGCGUGGGGGAUGACGGCUUUCGGGUUGUAAACCCCUUUCAGCAGGGACGAAAUUGACGGUACCUGCAGAAGAAGCCCCGGCCAACUACGUGCCAGCAGCCGCGGUAAGACGUAGGGGGCAAGCGUUGUCCGGAUUUAUUGGGCGUAAAGAGCUCGUAGGCGGUCCAGUAAGUCGGAUGUGAAGUCUCCAGGCUCAACCUGGAGAGGCCAUCCGAUACUGCUGUGACUAGAGUCCGGUAGAGGAGUGCGGAAUUCCCAGUGUAGCGGUGAAAUGCGCAGAUAUUGGGAGGAACACCAGUAGCGAAGGCGGCACUCUGGGCCGGAACUGACGCUGAGGAGCGAAAGCGUGGGGAGCGAACAGGAUUAGAUACCCUGGUAGUCCACGCCGUAAACGAUGGGCACUAGGUGUGGGGGGUUAUCGACACCCUCCGUGCCGCAGCUAACGCAUUAAGUGCCCCGCCUGGGGAGUACGG